CAAAUGUACAUCCACAUUUAAAAUCCAACACUACAGCCAAAUACACCUCUGCACACAAAUACUAACAUUCCAUCAAAACACAUUCCUGUAUUAAAACAAUAAAAUUUCAUACAAACACCAACUCUACACACAAAAACACACCUGCAGUCUGUUUACUAUAUGUAGAAAUUAGUGUGUAUCUAUAGUAAAAAAAAUAAAUUGCUAACAAUAAGACAUUAUGCUCUCCUAAUCGGAAGGUUUACGCAACAGCGCAAAAUAGUUUGUUUUUUGGGGGGGAGGAAGCGUGGGUUCCACGAUGUUGAUACACUAUGUCAAAG